UACGAAGGGUGCUAGCGUUGUUCGGAAUCACUGGGCGUAAAGCGCACGUAGGCGGAUGUGUCAGUCAGGGGUGAAAUCCCGGAGCUCAACUUCGGAACUGCCUUUGAUACAGCACGUCUUGAGUCCGAUAGAGGUGGGUGGAAUUCCUAGUGUAGAGGUGAAAUUCGUAGAUAUUAGGAAGAACACCGGUGGCGAAGGCAGCCCACUGGAUCGGUACUGACGCUGAGGUGCGAAAGCGAGGGGAGCAAACAGG
rnacentral:rRNA from 1 species